GUGAGGAAUAUUGGUCAAUGGAGGCAACUCUGAACCAGCCAAGUCGCGUGAAGGAUGAAGGUCUUAUGGAUUGUAAACUUCUUUUGCAAGGGAAUAAAGUGGGGGACGUGUCCUCCUUUGCAUGUACCUUGCGAAUAAGGAUCGGCUAACUCCGUGCCAGCAGCCGCGGUAAUACGGAGGAUCCGAGCGUUAUCCGGAUUUAUUGGGUUUAAAGGGUGCGCAGGCGGGAUGUUAAGUCGGCGGUGAAAUUUUGCAGCUCAACUGUAAAAGUGCCUUCGAUACUGGCUUUCUUGAGUGUGGAUGAAGUAGGCGGAAGUUGUGGUGUAGCGGUGAAAUGCUUAGAUAUCACGAGGAACUCCGAUUGCGCAGGCAGCUUACUAAACCACUACUGACGCUCAUGCACGAAGGCGUGGGGAUCAAACAGGAUUAGAAACCCGGGUAGUCC
rnacentral:rRNA from 1 species